AAAUAUGUAAAAAAGAAUAAAAUUUAAGUAUUAAAUGUUAUGUCAUUAAAUUUAUUAAAUUUGGCGGUAUUUUAUUCAAAUUAGAGGAAUCUGUUGUAUAAUUGAUGAUCCACGAUAGGAAAUACUUGAAGAGGGAUAUUUAUGUAUUGUUGUUUAAAAAUAUGUUUAAUAAAAUUUUAUUGGAAUAAUUAUUGUUUAGUAAUUCAAAUCAAAAUGUAGUAUAGGAUAUUCAAGAAUUUAUGGAUUACAUUAAAUUUAAUUUAGAUGAAUUUAUAUUUUUAAUAGUAUAAUGAAAGUGGAUUUAAAAGUAUAAUGUAUAAAUUAUUAUAAUUGAAAUAGUUUUAAAAUAUGU
rnacentral:rRNA from 1 species